CCUACGGGUGGCUGCAGUAGGGAAUAUUGGGCAAUGGACGAAAGUCUGACCCAGCCAUGCCGCGUGCAGGAUGACUGCCCUAUGGGUUGUAAACUGCUUUUCUAUGGGAAGAAACACUCAUACGUGUAUGAACUUGACGGUACCAUAGGAAUAAGGAUCGGCUAACUCCGUGCCAGCAGCCGCGGUAAUACGGAGGAUCCCAGCGUUGUCCGGAUUCAUGGGGUUUAAGGGGGACUACGACGUCAGACUUGAAAUCUUGCGGCUCAACCGUAAAAUUGCCUUUGAAACUGGUAGUCUUGAGUUCGGUCGAGGUGGAUGGAAUGUGUCAUGUAGCGGUGAAAUGCUUAGAUAUGACCCAGAACACCAAUUGCGAAGGCAGUUCACUAGACCGAUACUGACGCUGAGGCACGAAAGCGUGGGGAGCGAACAGGAUUAGAUACCCGUGUAGUC
rnacentral:rRNA from 1 species